rnacentral:pre_miRNA from 1 species
CUAUUACUCCCUUCGUCUGAAAAAGCUUGUCCCUCAAAUGGAUGUAUCUAGCACUAACUUGAUGCUAGAUACAUCCAUUUAGGGACAAGCUUUUUCGAACAGAGGGAGUAAAAU